rnacentral:rRNA from 1 species
GAUGAACGCUGGCGGCGUGCCUAAUACAUGCAAGUCGAGCGAACGGACGAGAAGCUUGCUUCUCUGAUGUUAGCGGCGGACGGGUGAGUAACACGUGGAUAACCUACCUAUAAGACUGGGAUAACUUCGGGAAACCGGAGCUAAUACCGGAUGAUAUUUUGAACCGCAUGGUUCAAAAGUGAAAGACGGUCUUGCUGUCACUUAUAGAUGGAUCCGCGCUGCAUUAGCUAGUUGGUAAGGUAACGGCUUACCAAGGCAACGAUGCAUAGCCGACCUGAGAGGGUGAUCGGCCACACUGGAACUGAGACACGGUCCAAACUCCUACGGGAGGCAGCAGUAGGGAAUCUUCCGCAAUGGGCGAAAGCCUGACGGAGCAACGCCGCGUGAGUGAUGAAGGUCUUCGGAUCGUAAAACUCUGCUAUUAGGGAAGAACAUAUGUGUAAGUAACUGUGCACAUCUUGACGGUACCUAAUCAGAAAGCCACGGCUAACUACGUG